UCAAGCAAAUAAGCGCACACGGUGGAUGCCUUGGCGAUAAGAGGCGAUGAAGGACGUGGUAGUCUGCGAUAAGCCUCGGCGAGCUGACAAACUAGCUUUGACCCGGGGAUUUCCGAAUGGGGAAACCCACCCGCUUUGCGGGUAUCUUGCGCUGAAUACAUAGGCGCAAGAGGCGAACCCGGGGAACUGAAACAUCUAAGUACCCGGAGGAAAAGAAAUCAACCGAGAUUCCCCCAGUAGCGGCGAGCGAACGGGGAACAGCCCUUAAGCUUUGCAAGUUCUAGUGGAAUGUUCUGGAAAGUUCGGCCAUAGACGGUGACAGCCCCGUACACGAAAGGGCUUGCAAAAGUGAAAUCGAGUAGGACGGAGCACGAGAAACUUUGUCUGAACAUGGGGGGACCAUCCUCCAAGGCUAAAUACUCCUUAUCGACCGAUAGUGAACCAGUACCGUGAGGGAAAGGCGAAAAGAACCCCUGUUAGGGGAGUGAAACAGAACCUGAAACCGUGUGCGUACAAGCAGUGGGAGCCCGUUUUCGAACGGGUGACUGCGUACCUUUUGUAUAAUGGGUCAGCGACUUACAUUUUGUAGCAAGGUUAACCGCAUAGGGGAGCCGCAGAGAAAUCGAGUCUUAAUAGGGCGCUUAGUUGCAGGAUGUAGACCCGAAACCGGGCGAUCUAGCCAUGGCCAGGUUGAAGGUCGGGUAAUGCCGACUGGAGGACCGAACCAACUUAUGUUGAAAAAUGAGUGGAUGAGCUGUGGCUAGGAGUGAAAGGCUAACCAAGCCCGGAGAUAGCUGGUUCUCCCCGAAAACUAUUUAGGUAGUGCCUCGUGUUUCACUUCCGGGGGUAGAGCACUGUAAUGGCUAGGGCCGCAUCUCGCGGUACCAACCCAUUGCAAACUCCGAAUACCGGAAAGUGCAAUCACGGGAGACAGACGGCGGGAGAUAAGUUUCGUCGUCGAAAGGGAAACAGCCCAGACCGCCGGCUAAGGUCCCCAAACACGUCUCAGUGGGAAACGAUGUGGGAAGUCUCAGACAGCCAGGAUGUUGGCUUAGAAGCAGCCAUCAUUUAAAGAAAGCGUAACAGCUCACUGGUCGAGUCGUCCUGCGCGGAAGAUAUACCGGGGCUCAAGACGUGUACCGAAGCCGCGGGUGCGUGCAUUCUUCGGAGUGCGCGCACGGUAGGGGAGCGUUCCGUAGCCCGUUGAAGGUGUGCCGUGAGGCAUGCUGGAGGCAUCGGAAGUGAGAAUGCUGACAUGAGUAGCGACAAUGCGGGUGAGAGGCCCGCACGCCGAAAGCCCAAGGUUUCCUGCGCAACGCUAAUCGGCGCAGGGUGAGUCGACCCCUAAGGCGAGGCCGAAAGGCGUAGUCGAUGGGAAUCAGGUUAAUAUUCCUGAACCGAAUAUAACUGCGACGGGGUGACGGAGAAGGCUAGGUCGGCCGGGUGUCGGAUAUCCCGGUUUAAGCGUGUAGGUUGGGAGCCCAGGAAAAUCCGGGCUUCCUUAAGACUGAGACGUGACGACGAGCGCCCUAACGGGCGCGAAGCGAUUGAUGCCAUGCUUCCAGGAAAACCCUCUAAGCUUCAGGUUGUAUUCGAUCGUACCCCAAACCGACACAGGUGGGCGGGGAGAGAAUCCCAAGGCGUUGAGAGAACUCUGGUGAAGGAACUCGGCAAAAUGACACCGUAACUUCGGGAGAAGGUGUGCCUCCGGUAGGUGAAGGGCUUCGCGCCCGGAGCCGAUGGGGGUUGCAACAAAGAGGUGGCUGCGACUGUUUACUAAAAACAUAGCACUCUGCAAACUCGCAAGAGGAAGUAUAGGGUGUGACGCCUGCCCGGUGCCGGAAGGUUAAGUGAUGGGGUUAGCCCUUGGGCGAAGCUCUUGAUCGAAGCCCCGGUGAACGGCGGCCGUAACUAUAACGGUCCUAAGGUAGCGAAAUUCCUUGUCGGGUAAGUUCCGACCUGCACGAAUGGCGUAACGAUGGCCACACUGUCUCCACCAGAGGCUCAGCGAAAUUGAACUCGCUGUGAAGAUGCAGCGUACCCGCGGCUAGACGGAAAGACCCCGUGAACCUUUACUACAGCUUCACACUGGACUUUGAGCACGCAUGUGCAGGAUAGGUGGAAGGCUUUGAAGCGGAGACGCCAGUCUUCGUGGAGCCAACCUUGAGAUACCACCCUUGCUUGUUUGGGGCCCUAACCGAGGCCCGUGAUCCGGGUCCGGGACCAUGUGUGGCGGGUAGUUUGACUGGGGCGGUCUCCUCCCAAAGAGUAACGGAGGAGCGCGAAGGUGCUCUAAGUGCGGUCGGAAAUCGCACGGCUAGUGCAAAGGCACAAGAGCGCUUGACUGCGAGACAGACACGUCGAGCAGGUGCGAAAGCAGGUCUUAGUGAUCCGGUGGUUCUGUAUGGAAGGGCCAUCGCUCAACGGAUAAAAGGUACUCCGGGGAUAACAGGCUGAUACCGCCCAAGAGUUCACAUCGACGGCGGUGUUUGGCACCUCGAUGUCGGCUCAUCACAUCCUGGGGCUGUAGCCGGUCCCAAGGGUAUGGCUGUUCGCCAUUUAAAGUGGUACGCGAGCUGGGUUUAGAACGUCGUGAGACAGUUUGGUCCCUAUCUGCCGUGGGCGCCGGAGACUUGAGAGGAGCUGCUCCCAGUACGAGAGGACCGGAGUGGACGUACCUCUGGUGUUCCGGUUGUGAUGCCAAUCGCAUUGCCGGGUAGCUAUGUACGGACGGGAUAACCGCUGAAAGCAUCUAAGCGGGAAGCCCCCCUCGAGAUUAGGUCUCCCCGGGGCCUUGCGCCCCCUGAAGGGUCGUUGAAGACUACAACGUUGAUAGGCUGGGUGUGGAAGUUCAGCAAUGAAUGAAGCUAACCAGUACUAAUUGCCCGUGCGGCUUGACCAU
rnacentral:rRNA from 1 species